rnacentral:rRNA from 1 species
AAAGGUGAAAAGAACCCCGGGAGGGGAGUGAAAUAGAACAUGAAACCUUAAGCUUACAAGCAGUAGGAGGACGACUUAUCGUUUGACUGCGUGCCUGUUGAAGAAUGAGCCGGCGACUUAUAGUUAGUGGCAGGUUAAGGUAGAGAAUACUGGAGCCACAGUGAAAGCGAGCUUUAAUAGAGCGUGUGUCACUAGUUAUAGACCCGAACCCGGAUGAUCUAACCAUGGCCAGGAUGAAGCCUAGGUAAUACUAUGUGGAGGUCCGAACCGACUGAUGUUGAAAAAUCAGCGGAUGAGUUGUGGUUAGGGGUGAAAUACCAAUCGAAUUCGGAGCUAGCUGGUUCUCCCCGAAAUGUGUUUAGGCGCAGCGGUUAAUAUUAUAGCUUAGAGGUAAAGCACUGUUUCGGUGCGGGCUGGUAAUUCGGUACCAAAUCGAGGCAAACUCUGAAUACUAAGUGAACAGUUAACCAGUAAGACUGUGGGGGAUAAGCUUCAUAGUCAAGAGGGAAACAGCCCAGAUCACCAGUUAAGGCCCCUAAAUAAUUAUUAAGUGGUAAAGGAGGUGGGAAGACUCAGACAGCCAGGAGGUUUGCUUAGAAGCAGCAAUCCUUUAAAGAGUGCGUAAUAGCUCACUGGUCUAGUAAUCCUGCGCCGAAAAUGAACGGGACUUAAAUAAUUUGCCGAAGCUGUGAGAUAUUUAUUACAAGUAAAUAUCGGUAGGGGAGCGUUCUGUUGUAGGUUGAAGCAUUAACGUAAGUGGGUGUGGACGAAGCAGAAGUGAGAAUGUCGGCUUGAGUAGCGAAAACAUUGGUGAGAAUCCAAUGCCCCGAAAACCUAAGGUUUCCCCCGGAAGGCUCGUCCGCGGGGGGUGAGUCAGGACCUAAGGCGAGGUCGAAAGACGUAGUCGAUGGACAAUAGGUUAAUAUUCCUAUACCGUUUUUUAUUGGCAACGAGGGACGAAGAAGGCUAAACUUAUCCAGAUAGUGGUCACUGGUCCAAGCAUUCAAGGUUAUGAGAAAUAGUGAAAAUAUUUUGAGCUGAGAUGUGAUGGGGAGAUACUUAGUAUUGAAGUAGUUGAUGUCAUGCUUCCAAGAAAAGCUUGCACUGUCAUAAAUAGAAAACGCCUGUACCCUAAACCGACACAGGUAGGUAGGUAGAGUAUACUAAGGGGCGCGAGAUAACUCUCUCUAAGGAACUCGGCAAAAUAACCCCGUAACUUUGGGAGAAGGGGUACCCUAUGGGUUGCAAUAACAAGGUCCAAGCGACUGUUUAUCAAAAACACAGGUCUCCGCGAAGUCGAAAGACAAUGUAUGGGGGCUGACGCCUGCCCAGUGCCGGAAGGUUAAAGAAGCUGGUUAGCAGUAGCGAAGCUAGUGACUGAAGCCCCGGUGAACGGCGGCCGUAACAAUAACGGUCCUAAGGUAGCGA